rnacentral:rRNA from 1 species
UACGUAGGGUGCAAGCGUUAUCCGGAUUUACUGGGUUUAAAGGGUGCGUAGGUGGACUGGUAAGUCAGUGGUGAAAUCCUUGGGCUUAACUCAAGAAUUGCCAUUGAUACUACUUGUCUUGAAUUUGGUUGAGGUGAGCGGAAUAUGUCAUGUAGCGGUGAAAUGCUUAGAUAUGACAUAGAACACCCAUUGCGAAGGCAGCUCACUAAACCAACAUUGACGCUGAGGCACGAAAGCGUGGGUAUCAAACAGG